UUCGCCGCGGCCGGCGGAGCUCUGUCCUGCGCCUCGCUCCCUGCCGACCUCCGAACAGCGCUGUGCUGCCCGCAGGCUGGCGUCCCUCGGAGGGAGGGAGAGGUAGCAGGCCUAAGGCGUUGGGCUUGAGCAUGUGGAGGAGACUGACGGGGAGAGGAGGACGGGGAGGUGGGGAGAGGGAGGGGGCUGUCCUGGAGGUAGAUAGGAAGCUGCUGCCUUGUCCCGAGCAAGAGGAGACUCCUCCUGCCUGCCUGCCAUCUCGGAGAAGCCGCUGCCAGUCUGUGUAGGCAGUCCUGAGAUAGAUGGACCAAGGGUCUGACUCGGUUGAAGAAGGCAGCUUCCUAGGGCUCCUGCAGUGGCCAGCCCGGGGGGUUUCGUUUUCAGAAGGAAGUGGGGAGAUGUUUUUAGCCCAAACACAGUGGGGGACCCUUUAUUUUGCUAUUCUCAAUUAUUUACAGCAGCAUUCCUGGAGGAGGAGCUGAGGAUAUUGGCUGAUGACCGCUGGGAGACCAGUCUUAUAAGGGAGGUUUAGUUGCCAAUAAUCGGAAAACAUCCAGAAGAUCCCAAGAGAAGUGCUAUUGCUGUACACAGCGCCCUGAGCUUUCAUGUACCAGUCACCAUCUUUGGUUUAGAAAUUCUGAGCAUCAUCCACAAUGAUGUGCUUGAGGUCUGGAAAACCUCUUUUCAUGAAAGUAACUCUAGUCACAGCUCUGGGCAUUUCCUUCCUAAAACAGGUGUUUAAAAUCUCAUCAAAACUUGAUUAGGCUUAAGCUGGUUUGUUUGUUUUUUAAUAAAAACAACACUUUGCCAAGCAAACACACAAG